CCUACGGGUGGCAGCAGUGAGGAAUAUUGGUCAAUGGACGAGAGUCUGAACCAGCCAAGUAGCGUGAAGGAUGACUGCCCUAUGGGUUGUAAACUUCUUUUAUAUGGGAAUAAAAUGUUCCACGUGUGGGUUUUUGUAUGUACCAUAUGAAUAAGGAUCGGCUAACUCCGUGCCAGCAGCCGCGGUAAUACGGAGGAUCCGAGCGUUAUCCGGAUUUAUUGGGUUUAAAGGGAGCGUAGGUGGAUUGUUAAGUCAGUUGUGAAAGUUUGCGGCUCAACCGUAAAAUUGCAGUUGAGACUGGCAGUCUUGAGUACAGUAGAGGUAGGCGGAAUUCGUGGUGUAGCUGUGAAAUGCUUAGAUAUCACGAAGAACUCCGAUUGCGAAGGCAGCUCACUGGACUGCAACUGACACUGAGGCUCGAAAGUGUGGGUAUCAAACAGGAUUAGAUACCCUUGUAGUC
rnacentral:rRNA from 1 species